UUACGGUCAUAUUUGGUUGAAACACCGGUUCUCGUAUGAUCCCCGAAGUUAAUCAACGUCGAGCCUAAGUAGAUGGCCACUUGGGAAUACCAGGUGUUGUAA